rfam:Neotoma lepida isolate 417 scaffold_104, whole genome shotgun sequence.
GGAGAAAUGGCUCAGUGGUUAAGAGCACUGGCUGCUCUUCCAGAGGACCUGGGUUCAAUUCCCAGCACCC